rnacentral:rRNA from 1 species
UCUGGCGGCCUUAGCGCGGUGGUCCCACCUGACCCCAUGCCGAACUCAGAAGUGAAACGCCGUAGCGCCGAUGGUAGUGUGGGGUCUC